rnacentral:lncRNA from 1 species
UCCAGUAAGGCUGCUGUUUCAUCCAUUCACUUAAUCACACAAUUUUUAUUGUUAAACCUUCUUUUUUUCUUAAUUCAACCGUAAACACAUAGAAUAAACCAUACAUGCAUUCAAAGCCAUAAAAUAAAUUAAUAAGAUGCCAUCAUGCAUACAAAUUGUAAAAACAAUCAACAAACAACAGUAGAUAAUUUUUUGUCUUGGCUCCAUUAGCAAUCCGUAAUUAAUUAUGCACAUUUUCCAAAUUCGCACAAAAUACCGGAUUAUUAUUUAUUUAGACUUCAAUUCUAUGAUAAGGAAUAGGGUGAGGGAUCCUUACUCGAUUUGAUGUCCGAAAAGCUAAGCUGUUCGACUGCGCCUACAGGUGAUUCUCGGGUUCUCUGAAUUUUUUU